UGACAGCUGACUGCCCUCCCCCCUGACGUGUCAUACAUCUUUCUGAGCAGCAGCUUCGUUUUAUUAGUACAUUUUAAAGGAUACACGUAUCUACACGUUAUAUUAUAAACAGUAAACGGGAGACGACGAGACCGUGCGUUUGAAACGCGUCCUGCUUGCGUGUUUGUUGGAUCUUGUAGGGGUGAAUUCUGCUUGCUCAGUAUUGCAGCUUAGACUACAGCGGCCCUUCUCACCCUCAGCAACAUGCCUUCAUUGUAAUACAGUAAUGGUUGAAAUUCUAAUUACGUAGACGGCUGGCUGAAUGUUUCUUUGGUUUUAGCUGAUUAAGUGUUGUAACUAUCCGGAUAAUAAAUCAAGGCUGUUUGUCUGUUUUGCAUUAAGCCGGGCAGCCAUAUAUCAUAUCUGGGCCGAAUUCUUGUGAAUAACCCUGGCAGUUUAUUUACCAUGGACACAGAGAUGAUACCAAAAUUCUCCUCUAAGGACGAGGAAAUUAAUUACUGGAAAUCCCUUUCGUUGAAGUAUAAGCAAAGUUACCAAGAAGCUCACGAGGAACUACUGGAAUUCCAGGAAGGAAGCAGGGAGUUGGAAGCAGAACUGGAAGCUCAGCUGGGGCACGCGGAGCACAGGAUCAGAGACUUGCAGCUGGACAACCAAAGACUGAAAACCGAGGUUGAAACAUUAAAGGAAAAACUUGAACAACAAUAUGCACAGAGCUACAAGCAGGUAUCUAUGCUCGAAGAUCAGUUAGGUCAAACAAGAGCCAUCAAAGAUCAACUACACAAAUAUGUGAGGGAGCUGGAGCAGGCAAAUGAUGACUUGGAAAGAGCAAAGAGGGCAACAAUUGUGUCAUUGGAAGAUUUUGAGCAGAGGCUAAAUCAGGCCAUUGAAAGAAAUGCAUUUUUGGAAAGCGAGCUUGAUGAAAAAGAGUCUCUGCUGGUGUCUGUACAGAGAUUAAAGGACGAAGCCAGAGAUCUCAGGCAAGAGUUAGCAGUGCGAGAGAGACAGACGGAUAUAACAAGAAUGUCUGCACCCAGCUCUCCAACUCUGGACAUUGAUACGAUGGAUUCAUCUGUCCAAGCAUCCCUCUCAUUGCCAGCUACUCCUGUAGGGAAGAGUGCAGACAAUGGGUUCACCACAACAAAAGUAAUACCAAACGGCUGUGGCAGUUCUCCAUUAACCCCAUCUGCAAGGAUAUCCGCUCUUAACAUAGUUGGGGAUCUCCUGAGAAAAGUAGGGGCAUUAGAAUCAAAGCUGUCAGCUUGCAGAAAUUUUGCCAAGGACCAGGCAUCCAGGAAAACGUAUGCAGGGAGCAGCCACUUGAUGAACAGCAACAGUACAAAGUUUUCACAUUCAUUGCACACAACAUACUUCGAUAAAGUGGAUCAGAGAUGUGAUCAAAUGGACAUCUUAACCUGGGAUUACUGCGUGAUGAUCAUCAAGCAGCUUUACCCAGAAAGAAUAAAUAAUUGUGUUCUUGGAUGAGCUAAUAGGGUUCAUUUAAUUUUCUACCCUAGCAAGGCAGGAAAAGGUCAUAUUCCCUGUGUUUAUCUUGGCAGGGCAGUAAACGGGCUUGACCAAGGACCCCUAUCAGGAAUGGGUUCCCCAAGAUC